GACGAACGCUGGCGGCGUGCCUAAUACAUGCAAGUAGAACGCUGAAGGAGGAGCUUGCUUCUCUGGAUGAGUUGCGAACGGGUGAGUAACGCGUAGGUAACCUGCCUGGUAGCGGGGGAUAACUAUUGGAAACGAUAGCUAAUACCGCAUAAGAGUAGAUGUUGCAUGACAUUUGCUUAAAAUUUGCAAUUGCAUCACUACCAGAUGGACCUGCGUUGUAUUAGCUAGUUGGUGGGGUAACGGCUCACCAAGGCGACGAUACAUAGCCGACCUGAGAGGGUGAUCGGCCACACUGGGACUGGGGCACGGCCCAGACUCCUACGGGAGGGAGCAGGAGGGAAUCUUCGGCAAUGGGCGGAAGUCUGACCGAGGAACGCCGCGUGAGUGAAGGAGGUUUUCGGAUCGUAAAGCUCUGUUGUAAGAGAAGAACGAGUGUGAGAGUGGAAAGUUCACGCUGUGACGGUAUCUUACGAGAAAGGGACGGCUAACUACGUG
rnacentral:rRNA from 1 species